rnacentral:rRNA from 1 species
AUUCGUCCAAGUGAAGCAGAGGACAGUGGCGGACGGGUGAGUAACGCGUGAGGAACCUGCCUUUCAGAGGGGGACAACAGUUGGAAACGACUGCUAAUACCGCAUGACACAUUGGGGUCGCAUGGCCUUGAUGUCAAAGAUUUAUCGCUGAAAGAUGGCCUCGCGUCUGAUUAGGUAGUUGGUGGGGUAACGGCCCACCAAGCCGACGAUCAGUAGCCGGACUGAGAGGUUGAACGGCCACAUUGGGACUGAGAUACGGUCCAAACUCC